CCUACGGGAGGCAGCAGCCGCGGUAAUAUUGCACAAUGGACGGAAGUCUGAUGCAGCGACGCCGCGUGGAUGAAGAAGACCUUCGGGUUGUAAAAUCCUUUUAGUGGGGAAGAGGAAGGACGGUACCCACAGAAUAAGCGUCGGCUAACUACGUGCCAGCAGCCGCGGUAAU
rnacentral:rRNA from 1 species